rnacentral:rRNA from 1 species
GAUGAACGCUAGCUACAGGCUUAACACAUGCAAGUCGAGGGGCAGCACAGUGUAGCAAUACAUGGGUGGCGACCGGCGCACGGGUGCGUAACGCGUAUCCAACCUUCCCGUUACUCUUGGAUAGCCUUCCGAAAGGGAGAUUAAUACAAGAUGGUAUCAGAAUUUCGCAUGUUAUUCUGAUUAAAGAUUUAUCGGUAACGGAUGGGGAUGCGUGACAUUAGGUAGAUGGCGGGGUAACGGCCCACCAUGCCUACGAUGUCUAGGGGUUCUGAGAGGAAGGUCCCCCACACUGGAACUGAGACACGGUCCAGACUCCUACGGGAGGCAGCAGUGAGGAAUAUUGGUCAAUGGUCGGAAGACUGAACCAGCCAAGUAGCGUGAAGGAUGAAGGUUCUAUGGAUUGUAAACUUCUUUUAUACGGGAAUAAAACCUCCCACGUGUGGGAGCUUGUAUGUACCGUAUGAAUAAGCAUCGGCUAACUCCGUGCCAGCAGCCGACGG